GUGCGGUUGGCGCAGUGGUCAGCGCGUUCACUCUCAAGCUGGGGUUUUCAGGGGCAUCUAUGGAGGGGUGGCAGACUCCAUACUGAAAACCGGACACCAGGUGGCCGUGAAAGGACCCGGGUUCGAAUCCCGGACCGCACA